ensembl:misc_RNA Gm27801 predicted gene, 27801
GUGAGGGGCUGGGCGAAAGGAAGGAGGGGAGGGGAUGGGGGGGGGACGCGCGCCCCAGGAGCGAAAGCAAACUGCUAGCUGCAGAGGCGCUACCGCAGUUCAGGCUUCCCAACAGGUUAGCUAGCCUAGGAUCCACCCGGUAUUUCGCAGGAAGGGGGGGGGGGGCGUUGAGAUAGCUAGAGGAGGGGAAGCCUUCCUGGAGGACAGAGGGAGGGAGAGAAAGAG